rnacentral:lncRNA from 1 species
CGAAUAAUUAAUUAUAUUUUGGUCCCACCAUUUGGCUAUAAAAACAAAACAUCAUAAUUAUGAUGUUGAGCUUGACGCAAGUUAUCUUUCAAAGAUUUCAGCAUUUUAUCACGCUCGAGAAGGAUUUCAUCCAAAGCUUGGAUUGAAGUAGAGCUCUUCACAUAAGGAGAAAUUGUGGGCGGGAGUUUACCAAACAAUGCCUGAUAUGGAGUCAUUUUCAAGUCGCUAUGGUAGCUGGAAUUGUAACAGAGUUCUGCCCAACUGAGAAGUGAAACCCAAGUCUUCGGUUUGUCUU